rnacentral:tRNA from 1 species
GCAUGGGUGGCUCAGUUGGCUAAGCUUCUGACUCUGGCUCAGGUCAUGAUCUCAGGGUUUGUGGGUUCGAGCCCCACAUCAGGCU